GAUGAACGCUGGCGGCGUGCCUAAUACAUGCAAGUCGAGCGAACGGACGAGAAGCUUGCUUCUCUGAUGUUAGCGGCGGACGGGUGAGUAACACGUGGAUAACCUACCUAUAAGACUGGGAUAACUUCGGGAAACCGGAGCUAAUACCGGAUAAUAUUUUGAACCGCAUGGUUCAAAAGUGAAAGACGGUCUUGCUGUCACUUAUAGAUGGAUCCGCGCUGCAUUAGCUAGUUGGUAAGGUAACGGCUUACCAAGGCAACGAUGCAUAGCCGACCUGAGAGGGUGAUCGGCCACCCUGGAACUGAGACACGGUCCAGACUCCUACGGGAGGCAGCAGUAGGGAAUCUUCCGCAAUGGGCGAAAGCCUUACGGAGCAACGCCGCGUGAGUGAUGAAGGUCUUCGGAUCGUAAAACUCUGUUAUUAGGGAAGAACAUAUGUGUAAGUAACUGUGCACAUCUUGACGGUACCUAAUCAGAAAGCCACGGCUAACUACGUG
rnacentral:rRNA from 1 species